ACGGGUGAGUAAUGUCUGGGGAUCUGCCCGAUAGAGGGGGAUAACCACUGGAAACGGUGGCUAAUACCGCAUAACGUCGCAAGACCAAAGAGGGGGACCUUCGGGCCUCUCACUAUCGGAUGAACCCAGAUGGGAUUAGCUAGUAGGCGGGGUAACGGCCCACCUAGGCGACGAUCCCUAGCUGGUCUGAGAGGAUGACCAGCCACACUGGAACUGAGACACGGUCCAGACUCCUACGGGAGGCAGCAGUGGGGAAUAUUGCACAAUGGGCGCAAGCCUGAUGCAGCCAUGCCGCGUGUAUGAAGAAGGCCUUCGGGUUGUAAAGUACUUUCAGCGGGGAGGAGGGCGAUGUGGUUAAUAACCGCAUUGAUUGACGUUACCCGCAGAAGAAGCACCGGCUAACUCCGUGCCAGCAGCCGCGGUAAUACGGAGGGUGCAAGCGUUAAUCGGAAUUACUGGGCGUAAAGCGCACGCAGGCGGUCUGUUAAGUCAGAUGUGAAAUCCCCGGGCUUAACCUGGGAACUGCAUUUGAAACUGGCAGGCUUGAGUCUCGUAGAGGGGGGUAGAAUUCCAGGUGU
rnacentral:rRNA from 1 species